rnacentral:rRNA from 1 species
UACGAAGGGGGCUAGCGUUGCUCGGAAUCACUGGGCGUAAAGCGCACGUAGGCGGCUUGUUAAGUCAGGGGUGAAAUCCUGGAGCUCAACUCCAGAACUGCCUUUGAUACUGGCGAGCUUGAGUUCGGGAGAGGUGAGUGGAACUGCGAGUGUAGAGGUGAAAUUCGUAGAUAUUCGCAAGAACACCAGUGGCGAAGGCGGCUCACUGGCCCGAUACUGACGCUGAGGCACGAAAGCGUGGGGAGCAAACAGGG